rnacentral:lncRNA from 1 species
CGUUGGUACCCCGUGCCAGUGGUAUGUGAUAAGUAUGGGAGCAAGGCUCCAAGAUAGUGUUAUGUGAAAUGUUGGGCACGGGGGUUACUGCCAAUCGAGUGGACUCCAUGUUAGUGUCGUCUAGGGAAAGGUGGUGAUCGGGUGCUUACCCCGGGUACUUGAGGUACCGCGGGUCGUGGAUGACACGGAAGUUCCCCGGAUCUAGUGGGUAAAGUGUGCAACCUCUGCAGAGUGUAAAACUAUUCGAAUAGCCGUGUCCACGGUCAAGGACGGUUGGGCGGUGCUGCUUAAACUAUGUCCACGGUUUUCAACCGUGUGAGUGUGGUGAUGGAAAUGACUUCGGUCAAGUCAAAGGACUUGACACGACUGAGAUGGGUUGGUGCCCACUCUGUUUAUGAUAAAUGGGUUGGUGCCCACUCUGUUUAUGUUGAUAUCUGUGACCAGAUCUCAUAGUUACUUGAAUCCUCUUGAUGCAUGCUUUAUAGGAUGUUGAACAUGUCAUUGCACUCAAAACUAGCUUUAUGCAAAAUUUACCUAUGUCAUACAUUGUUGUACCUUGAACCAACAUGGGUUGCUUGCGAGUACAUUCAAAGUACUCAUUGGCUUGCCACUGGUUAUUUUAUUGACCAGGCAUGAAAGAACAGGAUGUGAUGAAGAACUCUUCGGUGACGAACACGCGAGCUAGGACGCUUCCCAGUCAGAAUGCCUGUAGGGUUAAGGCAGAUGGCAUGGGUCCAAGUUAUCGACGAAGAUUUCCGCUGCGAUGUUGUACUCAAGACUUGACCAUAACUGUCCUACUUGUGUAAUACGGUAUGUAUGGAUGUAAGACUCUUGUUAUUCAGCUUCUGUGUUCAGUGAGCAUUGAUCUCUGGGAUCACUGUACACGUGCAUUCGGUGAUCACGACUUAUGAGUCAGAGUCCCCACAGAGCUGGUAUCAGAGCCAUCCUGACUGUAGGAAGCCUUAGUUAGCAUGGUCGUUAGUUAGGGUAAAACUUUUUCCAAAACUACUACUAGUUUUCAAAAUUAUCUGUACUUCUCUUCCCUUCUCAGUUUUUCGAAAACUAAGGUAUACUUUCCUUAUUGGUCUCUUCCCCUUCAAAACCUUUGGUCGCUAGAACCCUUAUGCCCCUGACCACAGGAUUCCUUGUAAUCCUCGUGGAUAAUCUGGAAGGAUAAUGCCUUGCCAAACAUUCACCCAUAUCUCCUGAACACAAGAUUGGCGACAUCACAACAAGACGAUACCAACAGAAGAUACAUCCUUGAGGAAUGAGGACCUAGAGACCCAGGAGAUGGCGACACCCUUGACACUGCCCCAAGAUGAUGCAACCUUAGCCUACGAUGAUUAGGGCAUAGGAUAUGCAAGAUCAUGAUAUACAUCGCUAAUAGAGUAACCAUGUCACUACCGUUGUUGUAUCGGCAACCACCGAUGGAUGAGAACCUAGCCAUUUGGUCCGCCUCACCAUAGUGAGUAGGAAAAUGGUUCUCCUCAUCCCCCGCUCUUGGUGUCGAUGUUGUCAUCAACAUAACCGACAUGAUGGACCUCUAUUACGCCUUGAUAAUGUCAUUGCAUAAAGGAUUACCUACCUGGUACCAUCGAUGGCUUAGAAGACAACAGAAGACCAAGUCAAUACCUGCUAUGAGAAGCCACCUUCAUCCCAUCACUUCAACAGGCAAGAAGUUGUUGAAAACUCUUCAAGCUCAACCGGGAUCGUUUCAUCAAACAACUACAAGAGACGUAGCAGCACCUGAGGAAAACCCGGGAGACUGCACGAGGCACAAGGCACGACUAUGGAGUCCGAGAACCCCUAGGGUAGGAUGAGUCGUGUACCCCCUAUGCGCAGUCGAGUCCGUAUGAUGGUUCGACUAGAACCAUGAGUGUGUUGCUUGUUUUUAUUUGUCUGUGUUUUUGAUAUCAGUCGCCCCUUUUUGCCCUAGGCAACAAGUACGCAACUAUAUGGCCUGCCUUAUUUUGUUGUAUGUGUUUGGCCUUUUGGCACUUGUUUGUUUGCACCUGCACUAUAGAACCCCGCUUUAGGCAUCCCACCUCCUCUAUGCUACUUUUCCCUCUCGUCUCUCUCUCCUCAACUGAAUACUAGCAAGGCAAGAUACACCAAGGAUUCUACUUUGGCAACCCCGUAGAAUUAUGUUUAACCCUCAAGACUAGAAACCCAUUCCUAGACCCUUCGAGACUUCAGGAGAUACCCCAGCUCGAAACCUUAACCCCGAGCUUAACCUACGGGAUUGCAAGAGAACCGGUUAAGCCUCCGUAACCUUGCUUGUCCCUGGGUUCAUUAUGGAACUUGUGGGCAUAGUGAACGAACACAUUAUCAUCCUAAUAUAGCACCAGAACUGACGAUGCCCUAGGAAGACCAGUUUGAGGAUAUAGGAAUAGAGGACAAAUGAUUUGAUGAAUUUAUAUCAAUGACUGGAGGAAUUAUAUGAGACUAUUUGGUGGAUUAUAAGGCUACCAUGUUGGUAGAUGAACUUGAUGGGAUCAUGAUUAUAGAGUAGCAUAGCUUUCUUUACCCCUGAGUAAAUUGGAUUUAAUAGGACAAUUAUGACCGCAAGCUGAGAUUCUUGGAAGUAUUUGGACUCAUCUUAGCCAGGGGUCAUUGAUAAGAGACAGUUGAUUUUACAUGAAUGACUUGGGGGAACAUGUAGGAUUUCUCGUUGGACACAAGAUUUGGGUUUAAAUAGGUGAUCCUAGUUGAAUACAGAUGCUGAGUAUGUCUACAUGGUUCAGAGUAAAUUGGAUUUAGACUGAUGAUCUCGAUCAUGAUACCAUGUUUCUCGGAGAAUGGGCUGAUUGUCGGAGUUCAUUUAGGCAUCCUUGUGAGCUUGACCGUGGAGUAUUAUUAGAACACAAUAAUGGGAAUUGGUGGACUAACUAUAGUAAGGCGGCCCUUUCAAGUAUUGGGGAUUAUAAGGACUUUAGGAGAUCAUGUGGAACCCCAGCAUAGGCAUUGGAUUUGUAGAAUUAAUGGAUCGUGUAGUGAUUGAUGGAAGUUAAUGGGCUGUUGGAGUUGAUUCAUAGGAAGGAAACAAGAUCUGGAGUGGCUUACGAUGUGUUUCCUUAGGAUAGAGGUGCUUUACCAUGGACCUUGGGUCAAUAGACUGAGCACUCGAAUUGUGGUGAUUAAAUUCAAGCUUAGCAGCUUAUAUGCUCUACCUAUGGAUUUUUAGGGGUAGCCAUACAUAUGAGCUUGGGAUAGUUGACAUGUAUAGAUUUAUUAGACCUCCCCUUGGGAGUCAUGAGGAUAAUAAUAGCCUGAGUGAUGAGUGAAGCUGACCUACAAGGGUUGAUGCUUUCGGUGGUAUAAGGUUAUCUGUUUAAAGGACUAGAUAGGACAAUUGGCAUCUCAGGAACUGUGCUUAAGGAUAAAGAUGAUAAAUGUUCACUCGUACACUAGAAUCCUUGAAACCCUUAAGCCUUACCAAGCCAUAACAUGGUCAGAUCAUGACCAUAGGCUUUGGUUCUAGAUCGCAAGACCUUGGCCGAUACUCAACCAAGACCACCACCAAUGCCUCAGCCCACUUUGUGUACCCCAUAGAUUUCAUGGAGUGCUUGGAUAAGUCGGUUGUCAUCUUUCUUUGGUGACCUACCUGUCCACCCGAAGACGGAAAAAGAAUCACUGAGCUGGUCAAGGGAACAUCUGAAGAUCGCCAUGUCCAGGAAGAAGAACUAUACCAACCACCAUCAUCAAGAAGUAGACAUCCGCGUCGAAGACCAGGUGUAACUGCAAGCCACUUCUCUCUAAGGAACCAAGCUUUUCCAUCACAAGGAGGUCCACACCAGGAUGCGUCAAGACCUGAAGGAAAGAUUAUGGUGGCACGGAUGAAAAGGGAGAUUGCUACCUAUGUUGCAAAGUGUGACGUAUGCCAGAGAGUCAAAGCUGAGCAUCAGCGACCCGCAGGAUUGUUGCAACCCCUCUAGGUGUAUAAAUGGAAGCGGGACGAAAUCGGGAUGGACUUCAUCACCGGUUUACCCCGGGUCAAGCAAGGGACAUGACUCCAUAUGGGUCAUUGUUGACCAUUCGACCAAGGUGGCCCACUUCAUUCCUGUCAAGACGACCUACAAGGGGAACCAGUUAGCCAGUCUCUACAUCAACCGAAUCGUGAGCAUUCAUGGCGCUCCCAAGGAAAUUGUGUCGGAUAGAGGAACCCAAUUCACCUCAAGGCUCUGGAAGGAGUUCCAGGAGGCCAUGGGGACCAAGUUGUCCUUCAGCACUGCUUUCCACCCCUAGACCGGAGGUCAGACAGAGCAAGCCCAGCUUGUCCGAGGGCGUUUGAAGACUGCCAAGUCAAGACAAAAGAGCUACGCUGACUCACGUCGUCGAGACAUGACCUUCCGGGUUGGAGACCAUGUUUAUCUCCGGGUCAGCCAUCUCAAAGGAACCCAGCGCUUCCAUGUCCAAGGAAAGCUCGCCCCAAGAUUCAUCGGCCUUCUGCAAGAUCACUCCAAGAUUUAACAACCUCUUCUGGGAUCACUACGAGACAAAGAGAAGACAAUUACCAGCUGAAGUUGCCACCUGAGCUGCCUGAUGUGCACAACGCUUUCCAUGCAUCCCAACCCUGAAAGUGUUUCCAAGUAACUUUUGUGUGUUUUGGUCCUUGCUUGAUUUGAUUUUUGUCUGCUGUUUGCAAGUGCUCUAAAAAUCAAAUAAAUCCUCCAACUCCUAUACUUCAUAUCCUUGCUCCAAAAACCUUUCCCAAUGAUCAUGCCAUGUGUAUAGGAUAUAAAAAUAAUUUCUUGCAAAGAUAAUUUGGCCAAAAAGUAUUUUCAAAAAUUAGGUUUUUCAAAAACCCCUAAAUUGAGGUUUCCACUGCAAGUACUUAAUUAAGGGCAGUAAAAAUCUUUCCAAACAUAUAUUUGACUCCUAUUAGAUACAGGACACCCAUAAACCACAAAAAUAUAAUUUUAAAAGUUAUUUUCCUAUUUUAUUUAAAAGCUUUUUAUUAAGGCCAGAAAUGGUCUUUAAUAGGGGGAAAAUUAUUUUAUGGUUUUAAAAAUAUUUGACAAAAAUUAGGGAAACUCAGUGGACAUUUGUUUUCCAUAUAUAAGAGUUUCAACACCUGGUCAUGUUCAAAAUAUUGGUCAAAUCCCUCAAAAACCCUUUCUGGAUAUAUCAUGCUUUUGAAAUAUUUACAAAGGAAAUAUUCUCCAAAAAUUCCAGGAAAAUUCUAUCAUGUCACAUAUGACAUAUUAGAUGAUCUUGCCAAGUCUCAUGACUUGGAGAACAAGAUAACAUCAUCAAAUCCCCUCAAAACCAUUUCUGUCUAUUUUGAAGUUUGAGCAACUUUACAUUGCCAAACAUGUCCAAAUGUUCUCAAACUUGGUGCACAUGCUCCAAUGGUCUAAUAAUGCAUCUAGACCAAAUGGCAUAGGUUGGAGAAAAGGAUAUCUUGAUCAAAGUGCCUCAAAACCCUCUCUGACCAGAAUCAAAUUUGAACAACUCUACAUUACCAACUUUCUCUCCUUGAUUCCAAAUUUUGUGAGAACGAUCACAUGAACAAAUGAGUCCACUACACCAAGUGUUGCAUCAAGGAGAAUAGAUUUGCAUGGCUAAAUCUUGGAAAGCCCAUUUCUGUUGAUUUCUAGGGUUUACCAAAGUUGCUUUGUCAACUUGCUCCAAAUGAUCUCCAAAUUGGUGGAAGGCCCUAAUAAUGUGUGUCAUUUCACCCUAUGGAGUCUCAUGGAAGAUGCAAAUCAUCUACUUGCCUAAACCUUUAUCAAACACCUUCUGGCAUUUUGCAAAAACCACUAUUUUGACCCCUUCCACUAUUCUUGGGGAGCUCAACUUUUUACCACAGCCUCUUCUGACCAUCUCCUACCUCCAGUAACUCUCCUCCUUCAGUAGCUCAAUUAUUUGGGGGUAAAACCCAUCCCUUUCUCUCUCUGUUUACCCAUGGCAACUCCUCCUCUCUCUCUCCUUUCUAUAUGCAGCGCCCCACCUAGCUCCUGACCACUCUAGAGCAUCCAAGGAAGCUCCAAGACACAAGUGGACACGGCAGAGCGCGCAAAACGCGCUCAUGCCGGCCAAAAGCCUGCUCUGGAGCGUGCUACAGUAGCGGCCGAGCCCUGCCGCUGCACUCCCGUCCACCUCGGGCCGCCCAAGCGCGCCAGUCGAUGCCCCUCGACGUCCGCAACACGCCACCACUCUGUCCCCUUCCUCUCUCUCCCUCCUACUGCCUCCUUUCGCACGCGCGCCGGCCGCCCGAGAGCUCCAAUGGGCAUGCUCACACGCGCGCUGCCCUGACGCUCCCCCGCUCCUUCUCUCCCUUCCCUUGACCUGGACCACGCCCACACGCACCUCAGACACGCCCCAAGGCGCCCGUUUGGCCCCUGGCAAUGCCCCGGGCCGUGGCUGUGCGCCCCGCCUACGGCACCUCUCGGCCGCGCCCGUAUAGGGCCACCCCCGAGCCUUAUCAUGUCUCAAACUGCUCUCUCUCCCCCUCUCGCAUCCUCUGACCGACCCAUGGCCCUUCCUGUGCUCUCCUUGCACCUCCACGGCCGGAGCAGUGCCGCCGGCCGCCGCUUAAAUUCGUGGGCCUCGACCCCUCUCUCUUCCCCAGGAACACUCCCGCACCCUCUCAUCACCAUCACCAACUCACCCCGUUCUCCAUCCCCUCCUCCUCGUGCCUUCCUUGCUGGGCCGAACCCCGCCACCGCCUGUCCCUGCCGCGGCCGAGGCCUCGUUCGUUCUGGCGCUCCUUGGCAGAAACCGGGUCCCCAGGUGGAUGCGGCCCGUCCUCCCGAUCUCUCCGGAGUCCGGGUGGUCGCCGGAGGUGACCGGAGCCACCGGAACGGGCGCCGGCAAGCGCUCGGCCCCGCCUCCUCUGCCUCCUCUGUCGCGGGCGGGAGGAGGGCGACGACCCUGCGAAUGGACCCCGCAGGUCAGCGACCGGCCAGCGGGCCCCUCCCGUUUAAGUGAAGGCGUACCAGCCUCUUCCCCGCUUCCCCGCGGCGAAGGCGCCCUGAAGGAAUACGCCUUCGACGUCGCCCCUGGCACCCGCGCAGCCGAGCAGCUGGGCCGGCCCACUGCUAUCCUUCGCCUGGCGCGCAGGAUAAGGGUAAUGCCUAUGAUUCUUUUUAUUCUUUUCCAGUGGGAUUGUAAAAUCCAUAGAUUAUUUAUUCUAAGUCCAAAUCUGAUGAUUCUAAUUUCUACAAGUUCAUAAAUUCCUGAUCUAUCACAUGGUGCAAUUUGCACAUUUUUCCAUAAAGGUUUUCUUCACAGACAAUUAUCAAAUCCCAAUUUUCUUAAUUCUAUGAUAAACUUUAGAAAAUCACAGAGGGCUCAAUAUUGAUCCAAAUUCCAUGGUUCAAAUUCCUAGAUAAAUCUAAGCUCACAACAUAGUUUAUGAACAUUUUUCUUGAUGCUUUUUGUACCACAUAAAUUAUUGAGCCAUUUCUUCAUAUUUAUCAGCUUUGCAAAUUCAUACGAAAUUCAUUUGAACUCCAAAUCCAGUGAAACCAAUUCCUAGAUGCUUCUAGAAUCAUGCUCUGUCAAGUGGGUGCCUUUGCUCAUUUUCCAAAAAUAUAUUUCUGUACACUUCUAGCAAAUCCAUAAACCUCUUGAUUCCAUCAUAUUGAAAUGUUCGGAGAUAUCCAUUGAUCCACUUCCAAUGAAAUCACUUUGGUCAUUCCUCAUAUGACCAGAGGUAUCCAAUAAAAGUCAACUUCACAUUUUUAGAGCACAUUUAUUCUUGCCUUGUUGUGUUGCUUAUUGUGUUUGUUUCCGAUGUUAGUUGACGAAGUAGACGGAGUACUUGGAGAAGGACCAGAAGACUUGAAGGCUCUGAGGAACAGGCAAGCAGCCCUUUGACCAUGACUAUGAAACCCCCUUUUAUAUGCAUGUCAUUUAUAGCUCUUUAUUAUUGUUGCAUCGGAAUCAUGGUGAGAUGGUGAACCACGUGGGUUGGUUGCCUCAGUUACAUUCCUCGUUGAUACUUGCAUUGUGCAUGGCCCUACCUUCUUAUGAGGGUUAUGCCGGUGGGAGUAGAUAGGAUGCAAAUGUAGAUGCUACGCAAAAGGGACGGGGAUAUGCAUGGUGAUGGAAGCAAAAUAUUUUCAAACGACUUUUGAAAACCCCAUUGGGUGCCACUUAUGCCCGAGGGAGAUGAUGAGAUAGGUAACCACUUGAUGACGAAGUGGUGUACCGAGGCAAGUGUGUGUUGUUUUCGAAAACGGAUUAGACUUAAGAUUUGAUGACUGUCCCAACCUUACAUGCGCGACCACUCUACCCUUAUAUGGGAAAGGGCAUUAUUGAGUACCUAGACCAAUACUAGCUUGGGCCCCGCAUUACUAGUGAUGGGAGAGUUGUUGGUGCGCUCUCUCGGGACGGGGUCGUGCCAGGUAGGGCGACCAUGACUGUUUUCACAGGGCACCGGACACACCGUUGGUACCCCGUGCCAGUGGUAUGUGAUAAGUAUGGGAGCAAGGCUCCAAGAUAGUGUUAUGUGAAAUGUUGGGCACGAGGGUUACUGCCAAUCGAGUGGACUCCAUGUUAGUGUCGUCUAGGGGAAGGUGGUGAUCGGGUGCUUACCCCGGGUACUUGAGGUACCGCGGGUCGUGGAUGACAUGGAAGUUCCCCGGAUCUAGUGGGUAAAGUGUGCAACCUCUGCAGAGUGUAAAACUAUUCGAAUAGCCGUGUCCACGGUCAAGGACGGUUGGGCGGUGCUACUUAAACUAUGUCCAGGGUUUUCAACCGUGUGAGUGUGGUGAUGGAAAUGACUUGGGUCAAGUCAAAG